rnacentral:rRNA from 1 species
UUGAACGCCGGCGGCAUGCCUUACACAUGCAAGUCGAACGGUAGAGGGGCAACCCUUGAGAGUGGCGAACGGGUGAGUAAUGCAUCGGAACGUGCCCAGUCGUGGGGGAUAACGCAGCGAAAGCUGUGCUAAUACCGCAUGUGAUCUGUGGAUGAAAGCAGGGGACCGCAAGGCCUUGUGCGAUUGGAGCGGCCGAUGUCAGAUUAGCUAGUUGGUAGGGUAAAAGCCUACCAAGGCGACGAUCUGUAGCUG